rnacentral:lncRNA from 1 species
CCACGAAAACAUUACACAAAACAUUUCCAAAAUCACAUAAUCCUAUUUUCACUUAAUUAAAAAUUUAAUUUAAAAGCAUGAAAGACAUUAACGAUAAACAUCAAGGCUUGCCAAUAAUUCUACCAUCUGGAUUCAACGCGCCACCACUCUGCCUCCCAUCCCCCGCCGCUGCAGCGGCGGGGGAUGGGAGGCAGAGUGGUGGCGCGUUGAAUCCAGAUGGUAGAAUUAUUGGCAAGCCUUGAUGUUUAUCGUUAAUGUCUUUCAUGCUUUUAAAUUAAAUUUUUAAUUAAGUGAAAAUAGGAUUAUGUGAUUUUGGAAAUGUUUUGUGUAAUGUUUUCGUGGGAUUGGGAUAUGCAAGUGAUUAAUGUUUGAUUAAACACAAAUCUAAACUAAGUUUAAGAAAUUAAACACUUGCUAAUGUAACACACAAUUGUUAAUUGAUGUUAGCCAACCUGCCACUGCUGGAUGCUGCAUUUGCUGUUGCAUAACACCCGCCGGUGCAGUAUAAUACACCUGUCUCCCUACACUGUCAUACCCAACUUGUGUAUAUGUUGGCUCUGGCGGCGCGUGUGGCCGCACCAUCCCCAUAUUUUCCGACGUGUAAGCUCCUCCCAUUUGCUGCUGUUGAAUUGUUGGUUGUGGUGGAACUCCGCCGUACAUCGGCUGUUCCCGGUAAACCUCCGGCAUCACGCGCUGCAUGCCGUAAUAAGCCUGACCACCCAUUUGGUUGGUCACCGGUCGCAUAGCCGGAGUUUGAUAAACUCCGGCGGGCGUUUGAACUAUAUAUACAGGCUGUUCAGUUUGCACUGAUGAUGCAGGGUAUGGUCCAGUAGUCAUAUGACGUUCCUGCCAAAAACUGGCCGAAUUCGUCACCGGCACCGCCGUCUGUUGCGGCGGCGGAGCUUUUUGCUGGUAGUAUUCUCCGGGAUACAUUCGCGGAAUAGAUUCCUCAAUCUUCCUGUUAUACAUAGCUUGUUCUUGAUUAGAAAUAUGCUGCUGCAGCCUCUGCAUUUCAUGAAUCUGUCUCUGAUAAUCCGCCGGCGAGAUAACAUUUUCUCCGAUGAUAUGCCGAUCUUCCGAUCCAGUAUCGGAACCAGCAAAAUCCUUAACAAAAACCUCCGGCACCGGCGGUGGUGGAGUUGGGUCUUGUAGCUUCACCGGUGGAGGUUGUUGUUGUUGAACUUGCCCUUUAUCCAACCCAAACAGAAAAUCCGGAUUAUUCGCCGGCGCCGGUGCCGACGAAACAGCCGUCGGUGAAUUCACAUCCAAAUUUUGCAACUGAACAGAAUUCAAAGCAUCAACAAACCACUGACUCUCAGUUUUCGAGUCAGUAGAACCAAAAGUACUCGUCGCCGGAGUACUCAACGGAAAUAAAAACAACCGGAGCCUCGCCGGUUUAGCAGGACCCCUAUAAAGACGAUCAUAUUCAAGCAUCAUAUGCUCUAAAUCUUCAUCAUUAGUUACUGAAAUCAAAGCAUCAAGGUCUUCACCAGGUAAUUGAUACUUAAAGCAAACAUCACAAUCAGAAAUCAACGAAAGCUUAGCAACAAGAUUCGAAAAUCUGAUAUUCCGAUCAACAGAGAGAAUUUUAGUUUCACCGGCGACAUAAGCGAGCUGAUUAUCAUGGGGUCUCGGUAGUAUUUUACCACCAUAACUGCACAUGAAUUUGACCUUGUAAUUUGAAUUUGAAGAAGGUGGUUGAUCAUCCCAUGAAGCGUUUUCGCAGUCGAUUUCGCGGGAACGUGGGGAUGAAUUAACAGAAUCUGGGUAUGAAGAAUAAGAGUAGUUCUCCAUGGAUUGAUAAUUUUUGAGAAUUUGAGGUUUUUCUUUGGUAGUGUUACAAAGAAAUGGAGGAAUUUAGAGAAGCCAUGGGAAGUUGAAGAAGCAGAGUAUUAAGGUAGAAAAACAGGGCAGAGAAAUAAGAGAGGCUGGAUUUUAUUUUACUGAGUUGAAGUGUUCAGGUGGGUCCACGUGGUAUUAGUAUUUGUUGGAAAAAGAAGGUAGCCGUGGUCUGGUCUCAUGGCAUUGAUAUCUUCGACUUAAAAGAAAAUUUAAAGAAUUAAUUUUAAAAUACAGUAAAAAAAAUAAUUUAUGUGUUAACAAAUAGAGCCGUAAUAUAUAUUAGGUAGACGAAGAUUUUAUAAAUAAACGUGCUUAGAUAUCUUGUGUAGUAGCAUGACCUCGAUAUUUUUUAUUUGAAAGAAAGUUUUUAUAGAAGUCAAUUUAAAAUGUAUUUAAAAAAUUAAUAUGUUAACGAAUCAAGUUAUUAUAUAUGUCAAGUGGACGAAGAUUUUAUGAACAAAUACACCUAGAAGCAAUUCUUUGGCCUAAGCAAUGUCUAGGUAUUUUUUGCUAAUCAUUUGGUAAUAAUUCAGAUAAGUUAUUCAUACUCUUAAUAGUUCACAUAUGAAACUCAUUUAUGUGGGAUACUUUUAGUAUAUUUUUUACCCUUUAACUUAAUAAUAAUACAUUCAAAUAUAAUUGUAGUGGAGUAUGAGAAUGACAAAAUAUACACAUUUUAUUAUUAUUUAUGUAAAAUAGAAAGAUUGUUUAUGAUAGUAAUAUUUUAUUAAGGAAUUUUUUUGUACUUCUUUCAAAUUUAUUUUUUAUUAUAAAAAAAAAUAGGAGUGACAAGUUGCACCAUGCAAGACUAUACAAGUUUGUUAAGGAAAGCAAAAAAGAUUUUUGGCCAAACAUGCCAUUAAUAACUCAAUCGAUUAGCUAUAUAAAACACUUGCUUUGUUUGCGAGGAUCAAUUUCUAACCCUUUAAUUUGUGAGUAUCUUUUUAUGUUUUCAAUUUGUUUAUCUUAUUUAUUUUAUUUAUUUAAAAGUCUUUCUCUUCUUCUUUUUUUAUAAUUUUUUAAUUAACAUAUUUAAGAUCAUAAAAUUAAAAAAUAUUUUAAUAUAUUCUUCGUAUUUUUAUAAAAUCUUUAAAAAAAAAUUAUUAAAAAAAAUUUCGUGUCAGAUCAAUCUCAGACAAAUCAAUUGAAAUACAAAAAGCAAUAGAUUUAUAGAAAUGGUACUAUUAGAUCUAACUUGAGCCUUCGUUUAAGUUUUUGGAAUUAAAUUUUCGUUAGUACAAUCACGAGGUGUCAUUAUUCAAUCUAGACAAAUAGUGGAAUUAACCUAACAUAUAUUUAUUUUUUAGCCUAACAUAUGCAUUAUUAGAUUCGAUUCCUUUUGUUUUCAAAGUUAUCUACUUUAAUAACCGUUAUGCUACACUAAGAAUCAUUAAAGAAAUAUAUCACAAAAUUACUAAUUUUCAAAGUUAGUCUAAGAUACUCCAUAUUUAUAACGUUACAUUUAAGACAAUUUUUUUUUUUGGAGUUUUCGAAAAUUUUAAUUAACUAAAAAGAAUUAAAUAGUAAUUAAUCUAUGGUGGAUUUUAGUAGGGUCAUAGAGAAAACUAAAGUAAUAGACAAAUUGGAGCAAAACGUACGGGGGGGUGAAGCUUGGUGAUGCAGCAGCAAAUAUAAGGGACACUUGUCUUUUAAUCUCUGGAUAUAAUUUGAUUAUUUUCUUAUUGAUUGGAUUUAUACAAAGAUAAUUUAUUUAUCCUUGCAAUAAUAAUUAAUAAUACUAUAGAAAAUAGAGGUUAGAUACCAACAACAACGAAAUAUAACUAAUUUCGUGUAAUUUUGCAGAUGAGUCUGAGGAGGAUAAGAUAUAUGUAAUCUUAUUUUUAUUGAGAUAAGAGAAUUAUUUUUGAUUGACAUUCGAUAAUUUUAUACUUUAUUUAAAUGUGAAGUCGAUAAUAUGAGCAAGUUCAAGCAGAGUUGAUAAUUUGAAAAAUUCGGUAAUGGAUGAUGAUGAUGAUGGUGCCAUAUUGGAUACACUAUGCAUUGUAUUUUUCGUUUUCAUGGUGGGACCUCAUUGUGACUUAUCAAAAUGUUUCAAUUGUGAGACUAAUUAUGAAGAUGUUUCUUCCUUUUUAUUUUUUUUAUUUUUUUUUAUGACUAAUUGAGUUAGGUUACAAUUUUAUUAUAUUUUUUUAUUAAAGAGGUUAAUAUUAUAUAUAGACAUAUAUAUCCUUAAUCAGGUACAGACAUAGUAGAUAGAAACGCGUUGCUACCAUAGUUAGAAAUUAUAGCAAGAUGAUCAGAAUGGACUAACUUAUUACAAGUAGCUAGUGUUAUUAUUUUACGCAUUGACAAAUCCUUUUUAUCGUCUUGUGAUACUUUUUUUUUAACGUAGUUCGGAGGGUUGUACAAAACUUGGGGUUGUCUGCUUCUUGUUAGUACAAAUUUUUAAAUAUUAAAGCAGUUGGAAAUUGGUGUAUGAUCUGCUUAAAUAUUCAUCAUGUUCAUAUAUUAUCAUAAUUAAUAUUUUGGUGUAUGACCUAUAGCGUCUUAUGUAUGUCUGAAGAGAAGCCUGCGUAUAUAAAGAUUGGUAAUAAAGGGAGUAAUUUAUCAGAUGGCCAACAACUAAUAAUUAUUAUCUAAAAAAAUUACGUUUUUUCUUGAUUUCAAUGUUUUUCAACAAAGAAAGGGACUUCCCUCUUUGCGUUGCUUUCUAUUUAAUUUAUUUAUGCAAGUUGGAUGAUUUGAAUUGAUUAGAAUCAAAAUGAUGUCUUUAUCAACGUCACUUGAUCGAUGAAAUAAUGCACCUUCAAUUGCAAUGAGUUUAUAGGCAGACCUUAAUAUUAUAUUUUUUAAAAAGAUCAAAAGGGAUGUCAAUUUGAUUUAUAACCUAUGAUAUGUCUGAUGCUUUAAGAGUUGGUUAACUAACACAACUAAGAAUUGAACCUUGCUUAAUUGCGUCCACAUCAAUCAAGUCCCCAAGAACAUUUUAUUUUUAUAUUUGUGUGUAGUAUAUGCCUAGAAGAUACACCAUAUUGAGGUACUUAAUCAAUUAGAUACCUCCCGAAUAAACUAGCCCGGAAACUAGGGAUGAAAAUGGGGCGAGGCGGGAUGAGUUUAAGGCUAUGCUGGAUGAUGUGGGUUUAAGGUUAUGUUGGGUGGGGAGGGAUGUGGGGCGGGUUGAAGUGGGUUUUUUAGAAACUAAUGCAGAUGGGGUGGGUUGCAGGCUUGCGAAUAUUUUUUUCGGGUUCAAACUUAAUUUUAAUAUUUUACAUGUUAUAAGAGUGAUAGAGCAUUAUCUAUUAAGAUAUUUCUUUGAAGUUUCUAAGAUAUUCAAUAUAGUAAAUGAAAAUGAUUCAAUCAAAACUAAUACAAUUUCUUACAUGCUUCUCAAUAGACAUUUAAAAAAAAUAAAAAUUCAAGUCAUUAUCUAGUAAAUUAAUAUAACUUAAAUGAAAAAAUCAAUUUGUUUUUAUGAAUUUUAUUUUUAGUAUUAAACUUACCUAGAAAAGGAAAAUAUUAAUCAAUUUAUGCAGGGCCAGUUCAUGCGGAGCGGAUUUAUGCGAGACAGGUUGAAAAUAACAAAAAUUGUUAUGCAGGACGGAGCAGGCAGCUUAAAAUUUUGCAGUUAAACUCAACCCGCCCUGCCUUCGUCCUGCCCUUCCCCAUUGCAUCCCUACUAACCAGAAACUAGAUGAUGCUUAAGAGCACGACCUACACCAGACCAUUGGGAAAGUGCCAAGCCCCUAUGAGUAGGAAGGCAUGAUAGUCAUAGCAAAAUUUUGGGUGUAAGAUCUCAAGGUAGUAGCAAAUAUUCAAAUGAGAGUUGCACAUUAAGCUAAUUUCUUGCAAAGAAACAAGCUAGCUGAUUGAUUUGAUCGAAUUAUUUUUUUCAUUUUUUGUUUGUGUAUGAAAGAGGGGUCCAGGAUUAGGAAAUUAUAAAAAAGGGGUUGAUUUAAUUCGAAUGUUAAGAAUUUUCAGCAUUAAAAUGAUGUUGCAUCCUGAGCCACUUAUUUUGUUUGCAAGUGUGCUAGCUAAUAACUAGACAAAUCCUCAUCUAAAGAUUAGACAGGAAAACGUACCAAUGAUAUUAUUGCUUUCAAGAAAGGGAUGACUAACUUUCAUUUAAGAUAUAAUUGAUUCCAUAUUUUCAAUUAAUUUGACAUAGUCUGGUGUACGCAGUCUAGUCUUACCUUGCUAGUACUACAGUCGAAUGAGAUUUUAAACGAUUAUUUUGAAAAGACUGAUAAAAUUCACAUUAUUAACUAACAUACAAGGAAAUAGUUUUACAUGCUUGCCGUCUGGAAUGACUAUAGUAUAAAGGUUAAAAAUGAAAAGAGUAAACGUACUGGAUGAAUCACAAAAUGGACAGAGUACAAACCUCCACCAGACGGCAGCUGGAGACAUAACUACCUGAAAGUUCGAAACCCCGGUAGUAAUCAAUCGUAAAAACAUACCUUAUAUUGUAUGUGUAUGAAAUGUGAUUUGGACAAAUACUUGCUGAUAAUUGUAAGGCAUCGAAGCAGUUGCUUGUACCUUCAGACAACUAAAUUUGCCUUGGUAUACUUUCUUCAAGAAUCUGAUAAAAUUCGGAGUCAACCACAAAGUGCUCCAAAUGAGAUGAUCUAAAACAUAACUUUGAAAGAAUCGUAAAUGCAACCCAAACUCGAACAUUUUUUAUUGCCACUGCUUGGAAUAUCAUCAGUUUGGCAAUCCAUCUGGAGUAGUACAUGUAACGUCACUUGGCGCAUCUUCUCCACUUGGAUUUUUUCCUAGAUAAUCAGUUGCUGAAGAAUCCGACCCUACCAUGCUGCACGGUAGCAAAUUCAGCAGCAAUCAAAACAUAUGGUCAUAGAUUCGCUCAAAUAGGUUUUAGAGACGCAAACCUUCUGUCAACAAGAACCAUGGUUCGAAGUUCGCAGUUCUGAAAUCUGCAAAUGAUAUGAGAACAAAAAAAAAGAUUAAAGUGGUCACCACCUUUCAGUAUAGUAAUUCAUCACAAGGAAAAUGCUGAAACAAUGUACUGUAUCGAUAAAUGGAGAGGGUCAACUGCACACAUAAUUUUAACUGUCCGAUCAAAAUCUGAAAUGACGGUUGAAACUUGAGCUAUUAUAAGGAAAAUCAAAAUCCCAGAUGAAAAAAUAGACACAUCUUUUCACUUUUCUAUUGAGCCACCAGAUGAAACUCGAGUUAUUUCAGAGAAAAUCAGAAACCUCAAAGAAAUAUAUUCAUGUUUGUAUUCUACUUCUCUUUAAACAUCCAAGAAAGAAAGUCACAGAAAAGGGUUAGGUGGGAGGAAAUGAUGCUGAUCCAUAUAAAUCUACAGGAAGGAAAUGAAGAUAACUGCGAUAGUCAAUAAGACAAAAUUGAUUAACAACCACAUUCUAUGACUUGCUACAUGUCCUUGCGAGACAGAGGCGUCGAUUAGUAGAAAGAUGGUCCUUUUAUAUCUGGAUGCAUAAGGCAGACACAGAGAGAUAAACGUGAAGUUAAGUUCAGUUCUUAUAUGUACUUCCCUAUAUUUGUCAUUUGUAGGCAAUAGUAGUUUAGAGUUCCAUCAGGCAUCUAUCAUGUAUUUGGGUUAUUUGGUGUUAGUUCAACAGUUGGAGUUAGAAUGUGAUCAAACCAAUUUCCAGCAUAUUGGUUCACCAUCAAGUUGAGAACUUACCGCCUACAUAUCUCACUCUUCACAUCUGGAUGACAAUCAUCACCAAAUUUAGCAAGUGUAUGAGUCAAUAAUCCACUAUGCGUAACAAUUGCAAUCUCCUUCUCCUUCCGUGUCCACAACCUGUAGGUAUCACAAUAAAUUAGUUAGGGGGAUAAUAUGAUGGCAACCAAGACAUUGGAAUCUGUUUCAGGAACCUUGAUUUAACAGUAACACUUCUUGUAGAUCAAUUUUCCUAAAGCCUUACUCGAGAGAAAAUUAUUGUUAUCUUAUUCAAGAGAAACUCAUUGAUACUGGCGUAACCUAUCAAACUAUAUGACAUCAAGAAGCCAAAGAAAGGAGUUAACACAGAAGUGAGCAACCAAUAAAUUCAAAGCAAGCUUGACCAGCAUCAAUAACCGGUUACAGAAAACCCUCUCAACUCUAACUGACCUAGGCAUGAUGUUACUGAAUGUUAACAGCAUUAGUGAAACUACUCCCAGGUAGUUGAAUUACUGGACAUACUGCCUCCCUCACUUCAUUUUCUUGUUCACUUACAUUUGUAAUAAAACUCAAACAUGGACACAAACAUCUGAAGAUCAUUAGAUCGAUUUUGCAUUCUUUCUGAUACAUCUGCACUUACCACUUAAAGAACGCUAUUCCUCUAGAAGCAACAUCUUCAAUUUUCUCUCUAACAUCAGCCUCCCAGAGAACAUCAUCAUCAGAUUCAAUCUGGGAAAAUCAAGGUGAACCUUGUUCAAUGAGAAAACUCUUUAAGUAUGUUCUAGCAGGCAAAUCAUACCAAAAAACUAAAGCUAGCUAAGUAUUUUCCAAUUUAAUAGAACCAAAGUACUUGCCAAGGAAAAGUCAAUUGCAGGAAAUAGAGGCUUGUAUUCGCUAAUGCUUCUCCUCUUAUCACACCAGUGAACUCCCUGCAUUUCGCAACACAUAAAACAAAUAAACUUCGUGUAUGCUAACAUUAGAAAAGUGAGUUUCUACUGUUCUUUUAUGAUAACCUCCCUUCGUCCCAAUAAUACCGAGCCUUAGCUUUUUGGUCCAUCCCCAUAAGAGCUGACCUCUUCCUUAAAUGGAAAAGAUUUCCCCCUUCAACAUUUUUAACUAAUAUAAGAAAUCACUUUGAUCAUUCUAAACUUUAGUUGACAUCUUACGAACAAACUAUUACACUUAUAAUCAAAUUUCAAACCAGUAGUUAAAAGACUUCUCCACCUAAUAGUAUAACAUUCUAUUUAAAAUUCAGCCCAAAUGGAACAGAGGUCAAAGACUAAGUGGAACAUAAGAGAAACAAGCCACUUAGUUGUUGAAAGUAAUUCAAGAGAAUGACCAUGUCACAUCCUCACCAAAUGUCAAUCCAUGUAUAUGCAAGAAAGCCCAAUGGGCUUUCCCUUAUUUCGCAUCAAUUAUUACUGGAUAGACUUCAGGUAGUUCCUUUUCUGUACUUAGUUGUCACAAAACUAAGGGGUAAGCAUGAACAUGACGAAAUAUGAUUAGCAUAUUAAUCCAACUAUUAACAUCGUUAUUGAGUUACAAAAUAUUCUUCAAUCUUGUUCUACUUAAUCAGGGACUCAUGCAUGCCAACAAAGUUCUAGAGUAAAUACCAAAUGAAAAGGAUCACAACAAUGUGAACAAAAGAAAAGAAGAAUAUAAGCUGUCAACCAAUGAUACCAAGCUUAUCAAGAUGUUUUACAAGGAACUACACCCCUAAAAGAAAAGGCAGCACCAAGUCAAUACAAGUUUUCAGUAACAAUUAGCAACAUACCACAGAGGAUUCUCACCCCAAGAGAUGACUCAAAAGCUUCAAGUUGUUAAAAUCAUUUCACAUAAUUGAUGUGCAUUAUUACAGAUGAAUCAACACUAUGACAAAAUUGCAUAUAUGUUUCCAAAAUGCACAACAGAAACACGAGUUUUAUCAAUUCUUGGUGAAGCCUAUUAUAAGAAAAUGCUUUCUAAACAAUUUGUUAUUUCUAGUCUCUAGACAUAUCAGAUUUUUGUCAAGACCAAAGAACAGCAUAAACAGAGUCAUUCUGCAUCCCAAGCUCCUCUACCUACCAAAGAAAGAUUGGCAUGCUAAAGAAAGAAAAUAGAAGCAAAGGAGUUAUGUUUUUCCUGCCAAUAAAUGGUACUCCUGUUUGCAAUCUCUAGGCAUCAAAUCAAAAUUUUCAGAACUUAAAGAAAAAAGAUUACAUCCAAGAUUAGAAACAGUGUAUGCAAAAAUAAAAGAGAGAGACCAAAAAAUAAAUCAGGUCUUCACAAAGGAAGUACACAAACUUAAAUCAACAUGAGAGAAGGAAAACAAUCAUGGAAGGGAGGUAAAUUUUAGGAGGAAACACUCGUGAAAUAAUUAGAUUCAUUCAUCUGCAUGAAACAAAAGAUGAGAGGAAACAAAUAUAAAGACAGGAAAAGGAUAAAGAAGAUUGAUAAGUCUUAUGUCAGGUAAUUUUAGGAUGACAUUACCAAGUGUUCACGACAACCCUCCACUGCAAUGAAGGGAGGGCAAUUUGAACUUGAAAUUGCUGGAUGGUUACUGUCUCCUGCAUCUGUUACCAUGAGUGGAGGAACAUCUAUUCCAUCUGUGGAAUCUUCUCCACCAAAAACUCCAACGGCUGUUUGCAUACACCUACAAUGCAAGACCACCAAAGUUGGAGGUUCCAAAAUUAAUAAUUGCAGCUAUCAAAUCCAGAAUAGAUAGGGAAAG